rnacentral:rRNA from 1 species
CACGUAGGGGGCGAGCGUUGUCCGGAUUCAUUGGGCGUAAAGAGCUCGUAGGCGGCUCAGUAAGUCGGGUGUGAAACCCUCAGGCUCAACCUGGGGACGCCACUCGAUACUGCUGUGGCUAGAGUCCAGUAGGGGAGUGUGGAAUUCCCGGUGUAGCGGUGAAAUGCGCAGAUAUCGGGAGGAACACCAGCGGCGAAGGCGGCACUCUGGGCUGGUACUGACGCUGAGGAGCGAAAGCGUGGGUAGCAAACGAG